GCAGUUGGGAGGGUAUGCUGGCUUUGGAGUUUGAAAAAAAAAUCUUUCCACAGCCUUAGCUCAUUUAAUUGUCAUGACAGCUUCUGGGAGGUAGGAAAGUCAGCAAUAGUUAUAUUGUCUAUUUGAUAGUUAAUCAGGUGCUCAAAGAAGUAAAAUCAUUUACUAAAAAUCCUCUGGCUGGGACAUACCUGAGCUAGAACCGGACUCCCAAGUCAGGGUUUUUCUGACAUGAGGGACGCCUCUUGUCAGGGAGGGAGGGGAAGGAACAGAGACACAGCAGUGCCCCCAGCUGUACAUUUGCUCUCCAGAUACGCUAUAUAACUUCAGCAUCGUGUGAGUUCCAUGUACAAAAGAGGAAACAGGCUCAGAGGUGGGAGGUGUCGCACCCAAGGGUUAGCGCCUAUACUAAGGGCAUUCCCUGAAGUUGUCACGGCCCCAAAGAGGUCAUGGGCAUGUAGUGGACAUGUCCACAGUCCUCUCUGGGCAGAGCUGGGCUGAGAGUCCGUGACCUGGCUGGGGAGCAGGGUAGGGCAGGUCAUUUGGCUUGAAGUCAAGGCAACCAGAAUGGAAGUAUCAUGUCACUGUGCCCCAGAGCUCCAUGGUGUCAUCCCGGUUCUGACACACCCUCCCUGACACCUCACCCCACCACGGGGCUCAGACAGCCAAGUCCAGCUGAGCUGAGCUCCAGGACUUAUAAGGUGAGGGCUGUCUACCGGCCUGGCUGCAGCCUGGGGAGAACAGGGGCCACUCACUGGUGUUGCACAAGUGCCCGCAAAUCACACAGCCGCCCUGGGGCACUUAUAUUAUUAAAAACAAAGAGGACUAUACAUCCCCACCCUGUUGCCCUAAGAUUUGGCCAUCGUAAUUUGUGUGAGCGGAAAUGACGUGUUAGUUCUGGGCAGAAGCCUUAAGAGACGGCACAUGUCACACUGAGCAGCCAGUCCUCUCUUGGCCAUGGAAGGAUUCCAAGGUCUGGCUACGUCACCCAGUCCGGGCUCCAACUUCUGAUCCUCCUACCUCAGCCAAACCGUGGGAUUACAGGUGUGUGCCACCAUGCCCAGAGAGCUGGGGUCUUCUGACUCAGAGCCCACUCAGAGCCCAGUGCCUUCUGCCCACAGGAAGCCACCGACUAGAACCAGAGGAUGUGGUGAGAACAGGGAGAAAGGUCAUCACGAUGUGGCCCAGGCCUUCACAGGUGGGCCAUGGAGGCCAAACGAGGGUCUCAGGCCUGAUGUGGCAUGAGGACAAAAGGGGCCAGGCAGGCUUCAGGAGGACAGAGAAGGCCAGCCUGGGCAUUACCUCUGAUGUCCCCAGCCCCUCUGGCAGAACAAUAUACAGGUGUGAAGUUCCCAGAGAACAGGCACCCAACUUUGGUAUCAAUUUUUGCCAGCAGUAACAGCUUGGGUUACUCCAUAAGCAGGUCCUUGGAGGAGCGAAAUUCCCACCAACCUCUCUCUCUCAAGAAAAAACAGACAAGAAGAAAGAACUUCAGCCUUGUCACAGAACUGAAAGGGACUGUUCCUGAAGACUAUGGUCACCUGGGGGCAGGAAGGUGGCUCCAACUCAUGAGAUACAGCCCAGCCCAGGAGGCUGCUGCUUCUAGUUGGACCCCAGGACAGCCCCACUGGUUCUCUACUGUACCCCACCCCACCUUCCAUGGAGAGGCUAAAGCUUCUUUGGGUGUUCUGAGUAGGAAAUCAACUCCAGCCCAAGCUUUUCUACCGAAGCAGCCCACAGUAGAAGUUUGAAGAUUUCUGGAAUGUACCAGAUAGUGUUCAGGCUCAAAUCAACAAGUUGACAGGCUUUGCUGGAAGUACAGGCUCAAAGAAAUGAGGAUGGCAAUGGCCAAAAAGCCACCAAGAAGAAAGGGAAGUGGGCAGUGACCAAUUAUUUUUCUUUGGGGAAGAUAAAAUUUUUUUAAAGCUUCCAGAAUCAAGGCUUUGUUUAGGGCCCUCCUUAACAGGAUACACUCCUGCCCCAGGCCUGGGAGAGCCUCCAGAAUAGCAGAGGGUCAACUCUCAGCAGCACCAGGGCACAGACAGAGGCCCCAGCCAGCCACUCUCCACAGAUCCCAGCCUUUCACAGACUUGUCUGCUAAAGCCACAUCACUACGCUUAGGGCUCCAGCAAGGCACCAGGGACCUGCCUUGCCCAGCAAGGCACUGCACCCAUUCCAUGGGGGCCUGGUCAGGGGUCCUGCGUCCUGCACAGGACACUCGGCCUCUUGGAACACGCGGGGCCUGAGGUGGUGAAAAGCACAUCCCCAUGGACAACAGCCAGGCCUGGGGCACUGCUGAGCUCACUCAUUGUGCAAUCCAGUAAACUGCUUUGCUUCCAGGCCACAGCUUUCACGUCUAUAAAGAGGAAUAAUGCGCUGGACUUUGUAGGGCAGUGUGAGCACGGAAGGAAAGAGCAUGUGCAAAGUGUGUGGUGGUUCCCAACAGAGUGUCUUUCUCACUGCCAAGGGCAGGGCUGGACCGUGGACCUCUGAGGAGGGCUUGGAGUUGGAGUUGGAGUGUGCCUCACCAGCCCCUUCCUCCUCAGACUGGGGAGCACCUGGUUCCCUGCUGUCCGGCUGAGGCUUUGCACUCACAGCCUGCCCUAUAGAGCCUGUCACCUCACCAGGAACCUUCGCUUUAACCAGGAUCCUAGCCAUGCAUUCCACCAGCAAAACAGCCCACAAGGUCCCUACACACUAGGAUGUGAAUCAUCUGGGUGCUUUGCUUGCUGAGAAGCCAUGUCCCCCGAGCUCUUACAGGCAUCCACCAAGAGCCAGCCUGCUGUCUGGCAUUUCCUUGCCCCUGCAGUGCCACAUAAGAGAGGGCACUAGUCUGUCCGCACUCUACCUGUCCUAUGCUGGGCACACAGUGACUGGGGUAUGCUUCUUCUUUAGGGGGCUGAAAAGCCAGCCGGGCUUACCAGGGGGUGCUGAAGAGGCCCCACUUGAACUUGAAGUCCCUAAAAUGGUCAGCAACCCCUAGAACUAUGACAGAAAGAAAAAAGAAAAAAAAAAAAAAGCCAAUGAGGUAUCAGCCCUUGUUUGGAAUUUGCUCUAGGAAAAAAACUAUGCAUCAGCCCCACCCUGGCUGGAGAAGAAGGUGGUCCUGGCAAAAAGCACCAGUCCCAAAAUGUCUAAGGGAAAACCCCUUCUACAGACAGAAGCUGCUGAGGCAAGAGCUGGACAAGAGGAGCGUCUACCCAGGCUCACAAGUCAAGGGGCCAAACAUCUGCAGCAUCCCAUCCUCUUCCACCCUGGCCAGCCUGCUCCGGGUCAGACAUACCACUGUGGAAGUGGGGGUCAGAGGGCUUGGCUGGAUUUCAGCCUCGCUGUGGUGAAAACUUUCUGGCCUCUCUGGCCUGGCCCAUCCUUGCUGAACAUUCUGGGCUGGAAUGAACAAAGCCAGGAGACCUGAAACUCAUCCAUCAGAGCCGCUGCAUUUACGAUAACCAAUCUCCCGCUGCCAGAAAUUCUUUUGGUAAGAACACUUGCUGUCAGCCUCUCUGGUCUCCCCCAACCCCCAACUCUCUGCAGAAUGGGCUUCCCUGGCAGGAGCCUUGCCUGGCUCAAAGCUGGUAGCCAGGAAGACAUGGGGCUUGGCUCGGCCCCCAAGCUCAUCAGCAGAUGGGGGCCCAUGUGCACCUCUGCAAGGCUGGACCUGGGCCUAGGUGCAUCUGUCCACACCCACGCACACUCCUGUUCUAGGGGGCAGCACCUUCCUUUCAUCCAUGCUCCCAGACCAUGCAAAGGAGCCAGGCAAGUGCACCCCUGACAGAGGAGGUACCACCUUAUCUCCUUAAGGCCGGACACCACUGAGUCAGGAAACAAGGACAGCAGGCAGGCAGGCAGCAGCUCUGCAGCAUAGGGAAGGAGAGUCCACAUUCAAGGAUGCACUUAUCCCUUAGACAAGGAGCAGGCAAGCUGGCCAAUGAGCCACCCAUUUCCAUAAAGUUUUAUUCGAACAUAGGUACACUUGUUCUCUGAUGUAUUGUCAAUGGCUGCUUUCAGGAUACAAUAACAGAAAAACCGAUU